rnacentral:rRNA from 1 species
AGGGAAUCUUCCGCAAUGGACGAAAGUCUGACGGAGCAACGCCGCGUGAGUGAUGAAGGCCUUCGGGUCGUAAAACUCUGUUGUUAGGGAAGAACAAGUAUCGGAGUAACUGCCGGUACUUUGACGGUACCUAACCAGAAAGCCACGGCUAACUACGCGCCAGCAGCCGCGGUAAUACGUAGGUGGCAAGCGUUGUCCGGAAUUAUUGGGCGUAAAGCGCGCGCAGGCGGUCCUUAAGUCUGAUGUGAAAGCCCACGGCUCAACCGUGGAGGGGCAUUGGAAACUGGGGGACUUGAGUACAGAAGAGGAAAGCGGAAUUCCACGUGUAGCGGUGAAAUGCGUAGAGAUGUGGAGGAACACCAGUGGCGAAGGCGGCUUUCUGGUCUGUAACUGACGCUGAGGCGCGAAAGCGUGGGGAGCAAAC